rnacentral:rRNA from 1 species
GAUCUGGGCGUAAGCGUGCGUAGGCGGUUAAUUAAGUCAGAUGUGAAAGCCCCGGGCUUAACCUGGGAACUGCAUUUGAUACUGGUUAACUAGAGUUUAGUAGAGGGGAGUGGAAUUUCAGGUGUAGCGGUGAAAUGCGUAGAUAUCUGAAGGAACACCAGUGGCGAAGGCGACUCCCUGGACUAAAACUGACGCUGAGGUACGAAAGCGUGGGUAGCAAACAGGAUUAGAUACCCUGGUAGUCCACGCCGUAAACGAUGUCAACUAGCCGUUGGUCCUAUUUACAGGAUUAGUGGCGCAGCUAACGCAUUAAGUUGACCGCCUGGGGAGUACGGCCGCAAGGUUAAAACUCAAAUGAAUUGACGGGGGCCCGCACAAGCGGUGGAGCAUGUGGUUUAAUUCGAUGCAACGCGAAGAACCUUACCUACCCUUGACAUCCAUAGAAUCA